GUGGAUUCAGCGUGAAGCUCUGUGAAAAGAAAUACAUUUUGUCGUGUUUGCCCACUGUGGCCUUUUGAUUUGUUUAAGUAAAGUAACGCCUUGCGUCUGCAUCCUCAAAACCUCGUUUUCAAGUCUUUGUGUGUGAUGAUGGAUGCUGCCAAAAAACAAGGGGCCACCUUAAUGGAGGCAGAAGAAAAAAAUCAAAACAUGGCUGAAAUUCAGCUGUGACCGAAAUGGAGGAAGAAAAAGGAGAUCAGAAAAGGAUAGGCAGACGUAUCCCCCAUCACAUCCUCCAUCUGACAUGAGCAGUGAAUCCGAGGAAGUGUCUGAUAUGACAUGGAGCAGAACUGAUUGAUGACCCAUCAACCCUUGAGGAUGUCCUCACAAAUGUUUGUUAUUAAAUGUAUUUAUUUUAAC